ensembl:snoRNA
CUCCAUGUAUCUUUGGAAGCUGUCAGAUGUGGCAGUCUCCAUUCCUAGCCAUGGAAGAGUAUAUUCUUGUUUAUUGGCAAAGCUGUCACUCUUUAACUGGUACCAGAUUAUGAUUUGCACAAGUAACAUUU